AGCCGCGGUAAUACGAAGGAUCCAAGCGUUAUCCGGAUUUAUUGGGUUUAAAGGGUGCGUAGGCGGGCUAUUAAGUCAGUGGUGAAAGCCUGCAGCUUAACUGCAGAAUUGCCAUUGAUACUGAUGGUCUUGAGUACACUUGAGGUGGGCGGAACGUGUCAUGUAGCGGUGAAAUGCUUAGAUAUGACACAGAACACCGAUUGCGAAGGCAGCUCACUAAAUUGUAACUGACGCUGAGGCACGAAAGCGUGGGGAUCAAACAGGAUUAGAUACCCUGGUAGUCCACGCCCUAAACGAUGAUUACUCGAUGUGUGCAAUACACCGUACGCGUCCAAGCGAAAGCAUUAAGUAAUCCACCUGGGGAGUACGACCGCAAGGUUGAAACUCAAAGGAAUUGACGGGGGCCCGCACAAGCGGAGGAGCAUGUGGUUUAAUUCGAAGCAACGCGCAGAACCUUACCCACCUUUGACAUCCCGUGCUAUCUAGAGAGAUCUAGAGUCCCUUCGGGGACUGCCGGUUCAGGUGCUGCAUGGCUGUCGUCAGCUCGUGCCGUGAGGUGUUGGGUUAAGUCCCGCAACGAGCGCAACCCUUGUCCUUAGUUGCCACCAUUCAGUUGGGCACUCUAGGGAGACUGCCGGCGUUAAGCCGGAGGAAGGUGGGGACGACGUCAAGUCAUCAUGGCCCUUAUGUCCAGGGCCACACACGUGCUACAAUGGGCGGUACAAAGGGUCGCAAACCCGCGAGGGGGAGCCAAUCCCAAAAAGCCGCUCUCAGUUCGGAUUGGAGUCUGCAACUCGACUCCAUGAAGUUGGAAUCGCUAGUAAUCGCGGAUCAGCACGCCGCGGUGAAUACGUUCCCGGGCCUUGUACACACCGCCCGUCACACCAUGGAAGCCAGCUGUACCGGAAGUCGGUGCGUUAACCCGCAAGGGAGAUAGCCGCCUAUGGUAUGACUGGUGACUGGGGUGAAGUCGUAACAAGGUAGCCGU
rnacentral:rRNA from 1 species